rnacentral:rRNA from 1 species
AACGGCCGCGGUAUUUUGACCGUGCAAAGGUAGCGUAAUCAAUCGUCUUUUAAAUGAAGUCCUGUAUGAAUGGUAAUACGAAAACUCAACUGUCUCAUUCUUUUAACCAAUGAAAUUGAUUUCUCCGUGAAGAAGCGGAGAUAAGCACAUAAGACAAAAAGACCCUGUGGAACUUUAGAUAUAUCAGCCUAAGACUUUAUAUUAAUGUUUAAUUUGUAUAAAAUUUUAAAUUCUGUAUAUAUCUUAGAUUGGGGCGAUCACGGAGAAAAUAUAUCCUCCAUGAAUAAACAUAUCUAUAUAUGCUUUUAUAAUUAAGAACUACAGUUCUAAAUAUUAAAAAAUUUAACCCUAUGAACCGGCUAACCGAUUAACGAACCAAGUUACCCCAGGGAUAACAGCGCAAUCCCCUUAAAGAGCACUUAUCACCAAGGGAGCUUACGACCUCGAUGUUGGAUCAGGACAUCCUAAU